CAGAGGUGGCAAGCGUUGUUCGGAAUUACUGGGCGUAAAGGGCGCGUAGGUGGCCUUCUUAGUCAGACGUGAAAUCCCCGGGCUUAACUCGGGAACUGCGUCUGAUACUGGAAGGCUCGAGUUCGGGAGAGGAAUGUGGAAUUCCAGGUGUAGCGGUGAAAUGCGUAGAUAUCUGGAGGAACACCGGUGGCGAAGGCGGCAUUCUGGACCGAAACUGACACUGAUGCGCGAAAGCCAGGGGAGCAAACGGGAUUAGAUACCCCGGUAGUCCUGGCCCUAAACGAUGAGUGCUUGGUGUGGCGGGUAUCGAUCCCUGCCGUUUGCCGAAGCUAACGCAUUAAGCACUCCGCCUGGGGAGUACGGUCGCAAGGCUG
rnacentral:rRNA from 1 species